AAUAAUACUAAAAUAAAAGUUCUAUUUUAUACAAGAAAUAUCCUCCAUCUUAUUGAGAAAUAUUCUAUUGAGGAAUAUUUCUACUACUCAAAUUAAAAAGUGCCUUCUAAAUCAACUAAAAUUUUGGAUCAUAAAUUUAACAGCAUUGACAUUUUUUAUGCAAUAAGAACACACUUUGCACCCCAUCACAUCUCUUUCUCUGCCUUUUCCAUUUCUCAAACUCAUCUUCUUUGAGGAUAAUAUAAUGAACCCAAAAUCAUUAUCAUCCAAAUCAAGCCCAUCACAAUCACCAUAAUUUCUUAUCACCCCAGCCUACAACAUUUCAAAUAUUAAUUGUUUAAUAGCAUUUUUUGUAAUGAAACAUAUUUAUAGGGCUGAAUAUGUACUGAUAAAGACCCUUCUUUCAGACUGAUUCGAUGAUCAUGAGCACGUGAAAGAGGCAAGGUUUUGGGAUCUUGAAAUAUAUCAUCAUAUUCUAAUAAAAGUGCCUCCUUUUCAAGCUAUGGUUGCUCCCUUUUAGUUACAAAACACUGCUAUUGUUCUAGGUCCCCAAAACAGAGAGAAUUUAUAAAUAGCUUCCCACUUAUCAUGUUUAAACAAUUCAGAAUACCGUAUAUCAAUCAAUAUACACAACUUUUGCUUCUGGCAUUUCCCUUCGCAAUCUCCCCAUACUACAUUUAAGGACAAUUGUGUAUUAGUUACAAUAGUGUUUUCUUCUACUCCUUCAUUCAACUCUGUAUCCUCACUAUCCAUCUCCUUAUUUGUGAUUCUUGGAUUCUUAACUGGAAAUUGGUUUUGUUUAGUUACUGAAGGAUUCAAUAACAAACCUGGCAACUCUUCUAGUAAGGUACCCGCUAUAUUGACUAGUUUGGAGGUUUGGAGUUGUGGGUUAUUGGAUUAGGAUUAGGGUUAACAGAACAGCUAGAAGUCUUGCAUACAAGUUUGGGUUUAUUUUGAAUCGCAGCCAAUGUGAUUUCUUGCAAUCUUGUAAGUGAGUAAGCUUCAGCAAGGGUUCGUGGAUUAAACAUUUGAACCAGCCUUUGCAACUCAUCAAUUAACUCGGAAAGGAAGAAACCCAAGGCUUGACUUCCUGUAUACCAACCUUAGGAUACUUUUCAUCAAAAGAAUCAAGUUAUUCUUGUAGAGAACUUGUUUCAAGUUCCUUAAGUCAAUUAAUGAAUCUUCAUAAACUUUGCCUCUAAAUCUUCCAUUGUCAGUUCUCCCAAUUUCGUCAGUGUUCUUGUCACCUACCUAUUCCACAUUCUGCAAACUGAGAACCGCAAUCAAAGAUUUGAUUUCAUCUAGGGCUUUCUCAUUUUGGAACUCAUAUUCCCUCUGCAAUGUUUCCUGCUGAAGCACGAACCCCUUUAUCAUUGUCGUAAUUCUUCGUUCCCACUCAUGAGAACUUGUUCCUUUUGCCAUAGCUGAGAAUCGAGUGGCUCUAAUGCCACUGAUACACGAAAAUGAAUUUCAAAGAACACCAACAACAAUGCCCGAUGUUUAUUACUCAUAAGAUGAUUAACAGUAUUUUGUGCAUGGGUAUUUAUCAGCUAUACAUCACAAGAACAUUAACACUUUUACAUCAGCUAAUUAUUGAUUUCCACGUGUCUUCCUAGGUUAUGCUAGUUAACAACCUUGCCACAGCCAUAAGCUCAACACACUGUUCAACUAAACCCCUACACACUAUUUCGUCCUU
rnacentral:misc_RNA from 1 species